GAUGAACGCUGGCGGCGUGCCUAAUACAUGCAAGUCGAGCGAACAGACGAGGAGCUUGCUCCUCUGACGUUAUCGGCGGACGGGUGAGUAACACGUGGAUAACCUACCUAUAAGACUGGGAUAACUUCGGGAAACCGGAUCUAAUACCGGAUAAUAUAUUGAACCGCAUGGUUCAAUAGUGAAAGACGGUUUUGCUGUCACUUAUAGAUGGAUCCGCGCCGCAUUAGCUAGUUGGUAAGGUAACGGCUUACCAAGGCAACGAUGCGUAGCCGACCUGAGAGGGUGAUCGGCCACACUGGAACUGAGACACGGUCCAGACUCCUACGGGAGGAAGCAGUAGGGAAUCUUCCGCAAUGGGCGAAAGCUUGACGGAGCAACGCCGCGUGAGUGAUGAAGGUCUUAGGAUCGUAAAACUAUGUUAUUAGGGAAGAACAAAUGUGUAAGUAACUAUGCACGUCUUGACGGUACCUAAUCAGAAAGCCACGGCUAACUACGUG
rnacentral:rRNA from 1 species